CGAGACAUUGGGUGGUGUGAAUAAAAGUGAGUAGAUACUCAUAUUCGAAGUACGAAGUACCUAGAAAGAGUAAUAAUCUUAUAUACCUGAGCAUCUACUCUAUGUACUGAGUACCUACUUGGAAACAUUGUAUCUCCCCGGACACAAAUUGAACAUCUACCUACGCGUUUUGUGAGCAUUUAAUCUAAAAAUGAGCAUCGGCAUGGCAAAUGAUUGAACUGUCUGUAAAGCAGCUUAGAAAACGAGCAGGAUCGUUGUAAGAGUGAGUUUUGACUAAAUAUGGGGACUUUCAUGAACGUGGAACGUCGCCAAAAAGUGCAUUCAGUUUGAAGAACACGUUAGGAGCGGGAAUAUCGAAAACUUUUCAGUUGAUGCUCAGCAAGAACCACGGGAAGGUCUAGAGCAGAUCUCGCUAGGAAAGGAGUGGGCUAGGAAUUGUUAAUGAGGGAUAGAACGUUAUACAGUACAAUACAACGGAAAUACAAUACAGAUACAAUACAAAUGCAAAGUUAGUAUACACCACCGGAAGAAAUUGCAC